CACGUAGCAAUGCGUGGCGAACGGCUCAGUAACACGUAGUCAACAUGCCCAGGGGACGUGGAUAACCUCGGGAAACUGAGAUUAAACCGCGAUAGGUCAAGAUUUCUGGAAUGGAUUUUGGCUUAAAUCUACAUGGCCCCUGGAUUGGACUGCGGCCGAUCAGGCUGUUGGUGAGGUAAUGGCCCACCAAACCUAUAACCGGUACGGGCUCUGAGAGGAGAAGCCCGGAGAUGGGCACUGAGACAAGGGCCCAGGCCCUAUGGGGCGCAGCAGGCGCGAAACCUCUGCAAUGGGCGAAAGCCUGACAGGGUUACUCUGAGUGAUUUCCGCUAAGGAGAUCUUUUGGCAGCUCUAAAAAUGGUGCAGAAUAAGGGGUGGGCAAGUCUGGUGUCAGCCGCCGCGGUAAUACCAGCACCCCGAGUGGUCGGGACGAUUAUUGGGCCUAAAGCAUCCGUAGCCGGUUGUGCAAGUCCUCCGUUAAAUCCAGCCGCUCAACGGAUGGGCUGCGGAGGAUACUACAGGACUAGGAGGCGGGAGAGGCAAGCGGUACUUAGUGGGUAGGGGUAAAAUCCUUUGAUCCAUUGAAGACCACCAGUGGCGAAGGCGGCUUGCCAGAACGCGCUCGACGGUGAGGGAUGAAAGCUGGGGGAGCAAACCGGAUUAGAUACCCGGGUAGUCCCAGCUGUAAACGAUGCAGACUCGGUGAUGGGCUAGCCUCGUGUCAGCCCAGUGCCGCAGGGAAGCCGUUAAGUCUGCCGCCUGGGGAGUACGGUCGCAAGACUGAAACUUAAAGGAAUUGGCGGGGGAGCACCACAAGGGGUGAAGCCUGCGGUUCAAUUGGAUUCAACGCCGGG
rnacentral:rRNA from 1 species